rnacentral:rRNA from 1 species
GACGAACGCUGGCGGCGUGCUUAACACAUGCAAGUCGAACGGUAAGGCCCUUCGGGGUACACGAGUGGCGAACGGGUGAGUAACACGUGGGUGAUCUGCCCUGCACUUCGGGAUAAGCCUGGGAAACUGGGUCUAAUACCGGAUAGGACUCCUGGCUUCAUGGUUGGGGGUGGAAAGCUUUUGCGGUGUGGGAUGGGCCCGCGGCCUAUCAGCUUGUUGGUGGGGUGAUGGCCUACCAAGGCGACGACGGGUAGCCGGCCUGAGAGGGUGACCGGCCACACUGGGACUGAGAUACGGCCCAGACUCCUACGGGAGGCAGCAGUGGGGAAUAUUGCACAAUGGGCGCAAGCCUGAUGCAGCAACGCCGCGUGAGGGAUGACGGCCUUCGGGUUGUAAACCUCUUUCAGCACCGACGAAGCGCAAGUGACGGUAGGUGCAGAAGAAGGACCGGCCAACUACGUGCCAGCCGCCGCCGUAA